rfam:Gossypium raimondii chromosome 10, whole genome shotgun sequence.
AAUCCAUGGUGAGGACACCUUUUUAACAAAUCCUUGAAUAUCUUCCAUUUAUCAUAAAAAGUCUCAAUAUCAAACUGAACAAAAGAAGAGAUAUCAUACCUCAACUU